rnacentral:rRNA from 1 species
GAUGAACGCUGACAGAAUGCUUAACACAUGCAAGUCAACUUGAACUUCGGUUUGGGUGGCGGACGGGUGAGUAACGCGUAAAGAACUUGCCUCACAGAUAGGGACAACAUUUGGAAACGAAUGCUAAUACCUGAUAUUAUGAUUAUAUGGCAUCGUAUAAUUAUGAAAGCUAUAUGCGCUGUGAGAGAGCUUUGCGUCCCAUUAGCUAGUUGGAGAGGUAACGGCUCACCAAGGCGAUGAUGGGUAGCCGGCCUGAGAGGGUGAUCGGCCACAAGGGGACUGAGACACGGCCCUCACUCCUACGGGAGGCAGCAGUGGGGAAUAUUGGACAAUGGACCAAGAGUCUGAUCCAGCAAUUCUGUGUGCACGAUGAAGUUUUUCGGAAUGUAAAGUGCUUUCAGUUGGGAAGAAAAAAAUGACGGUACCAACAGAAGAAGUGACGGCUAAAUACGUG